CGUGCUGCCAUUACGUCACCCCGUGGACCUUGGAGGCUCCACGGCGGAGGCGUGGAAUUUGGAGCUGGGCUAUAAAGUAAGUGUCCGGGGCGGCUGUAGUGUGCAGCCCGUCGCUGACUUCAGGGAGGUCUCAAACGGCCCGCUGAGGGCUGCAGCUUUCACCCACCUGGCCCUCAGGAAGAGGAGGGCGUCGCUUGGGUUCCAGACAGCGGUAGGAGCAGCUCAGCGUGCUCUCUGCCCCUCACAGGUGACAGACAACCAGCUCUCGUGGAGUUUCGCUUCAGCUAGUGACCUUGAGCCCAGGGCGAAGCCCAACUUAUAUCUCCUGGCGCAGGAACUUGGUGAGAAUGUCAGUUUAAGGAAAAACUUUCCAUGUUCCAGCCAGUGUACAUCCAGAGAUGUCAGUGUAAUACCAGGAGCAGACUGUGUGUCAGUGAACCAGCCAUACCCUGAAUGACUCCUAAAAUCUCAUGGACUUCUAAAGAAGUACCAUGGCCUGUGCUGCUUUCUUGAUUUCUGGGUUGUUUCGAGGCUAUGUGGGAGCAGUCUGCACUCGGGCUGCUGCUUCGAAGUUGACAUCCAGCACUUCUUGCCACCUUACUUUCACGAGCAUAAUGAAAUCCAAAAGAAAAACUGAUCACUUGGAGAGAACUGCAAGUGUCGUUCGCCGGGAGGUGGUGGCAGCGGCUAAGGUGUGUGGAGCUGUCAGUGAGUCGCCUUCAGUGAAGAGCCUCCGCUUGCUUGUUGCAGAUAAAGACUUUUCCUUUAAAGCUGGCCAGUGGAUUGAUUUCUUUAUUCCAGGAGUCUCUGUAGUUGGUGGGUUUUCAAUAUGCUCCAGUCCCAGACUGCUAGAACAAGAGAGAAUGAUAGAAUUGGCAGUGAAAUAUACAAACCACCCGCCUGCUCUUUGGAUUCACAAUAAGUGUACACUUGACUCUGAAGUGGCUGUGAGAGUGGGUGGAGAGUUCUUCUUUGACCCUCAGCCCACAGAUGCCCCUAGAAACCUCGUGUUGAUUGCAGGAGGAGUUGGAAUUAACCCCCUGCUUUCCAUCCUGCGGUACUCAGCAGAUCUCCACCGUGAUCGGGCAAACAAAGGAAGUGGAUAUGAGAUAGGUACAAUAAAACUAUUCUACAGUGCAAAGAACACCAGCGAACUCCUGUUUAAGAAAAAUAUCCUCAAUUUGGUAAAUGAAUUUCCUGAGAAGAUUGCAUGCAGUUUGCAUGUUACAAAACAGACUACACAAAUCAGUGCAGAACUUAAGCCAUAUAUCACGGAAGGAAGAAUAACAGAGGAGGAGAUAAAAGACCAUAUUUCAAAAGAGACUUUGUUCUAUAUUUGUGGCCCACCUCCAAUGACAGACUUUUUCUCCAAGCAACUGGAAAACAACCAUGUUCCCAAAGAACACAUUUGCUUUGAGAAGUGGUGGUAGGGAGCCGGCAAAGGUACAAAAGAGAAAGAAGCAAGAUCCAUUCCAGAGACCCCCACCAGCCCUAUGGCCUCAAAAGUCCACAGUUGCACUACGUUCCUAUGGCAGGAAAGAUGAAUUCUGACGAGAGACCACUAACUUGGCAACUGGAAAGUCUUGCCCUGCUCACACAAGAAGAUAACCCUAAGGUGAGGCCACUGCGCUGGGUUACUCCAUGAAGGUUCACCACACCAGCUAGGCUGUGAACACCCUGGACUCCUGUUUUCUUAGCUUGUCACUGGCCUCAGAAAAUAUCAAACAUGCAUCCAGAUUCCCUGUGUCCCGUGGGUGCACACGACUCAUUCCUCGAGUAUUUGGGAACUGCAGUGGGAUGCACAGGUGAAGAACAGCACAGCCCUACUCCAGAGUUCAAAGUGCGGUCACCAAAGUACAGACUGGUCUGCUGCCAGGGCCACAGGCUUCAAAUGUCAGAAAAAAGAAAGAUCCAGGCCACCAUCAAAGCCGGCUUUCAGGAACCUGCACAAAUUACAAGAUGAAGCUGGGCCUGGGGCUCCAAGCAGGGUAGGCUUCAUGUGGAGGCAUCAGUGUGUAGUAGCCUGGAGUGCUAUGCUGGCAAGGGAAGCAGCCCUGGUGAGACUGCCUGCUGGCGGCUUUGGGAACACAAUCAGCUCAUCUGGCUGCCCUGCACUUGGGAGCCAGAAGGGAGGGAGGGAGAUGAGAACAAUCUGCCCGCCUCUUCAGACAGCUUUUAAACUUUCUGUAACUGGACACCAAUCCCACUGUGCCUCCACAAGUCACCUGAGCCCUUCGCAACUAAUGUAUCCUUUGGGAAACUCAAAUUUUCUCAAAUGUAUGCAGGAAGUAUGGGCCUGAGCAGUGAUUCUCAAAGCUUGGUCCUGGAGCAGGCAACAUAGGGGCCUUACCUGGAACUUUUGAGAAAUAGAUUCUUGGGGCCCAGCUGAAACCCACUAAUCAGAAACUCUGGGAAUGGGCCCCUGGAAUCAGUGUUUUAAAGAGCUCCUCUCAAUAGUUCUUAUACAGAUAUGCAUGAAAUCACUGCCUGGAUAUCUCUUAGGUCCCUUCUGGGGGAGAGAGUCUAAUUCUGCAGCCAGAAUCUAUCAGCUGUCACUCCCAAUCUAAGCUUUCCCAUUAUUCUCCAUAUAAAGAAGAAAAAAAUAGAUGGACUUUUAAAGGAUCAACUGUCUGAGAAAUGAUGAUGAGGGCAGAGUGUUGAGCUGGAAGGGGAUUCAGGGAAGAGAGAAGGAAGAAAGAGAACAAUGUCAUCAGUUUAUGGAAGGGUGCAGCAGAGAAUGCCAUUGUGGCCCCUCCCCAAGCCCCAGUCACCAGAGAUGGCUCAACACUUGGCCAGCAGGCUCCUUUCUGCAGUCCCCCUGGGCACACAGGUGCCUCCCUUCCAGCCCAGCACCCUUGGCCAGUACCCCUUCUGCCAGGCUGGAGGAAGAACCCUGUGGCUAUUGUAUCCAGAGAUUCCCCUGCCCCCAUGCCUGUGUUCCCGGUCUAAAGAGAGAAAGGAGGAAAAAAAAUUUAAAUCCACAUUCUCCAGCUUUGCGAGGUUAUGAUUACUUGGGCCUAUCAAGAAUAACCUUCCCACUUUAUCAAGCACUGUGACAAACCCACCACAAUCAGACAGUAGCCAUAGCAACCAGGACAAGCUUUGGCGCCUCACAAAGCCCUGAGUGGCAGAAUGGAGUCCUUUUAUUGGUGGCUGUACCCUGGCCCGGUUUUCUCUGCGUGAGCCCAGAGCUGCAAGACAAUGAACGACCCCUGCCGCAGCCUGACCCGCCUGUUCAGACGGGCCUCACCAGGGUGGCUUCUAUUUUGCUUCCAUUUUAUUUCAUUUUGUCACUAUCUUAAAGAGAAAAACAGCAGGAUUUCGCCCAAACAGUUUUUUUCCCCUCUCAGGGUGGGAGAUGUCAGCCAGAGGGUGCAGAAUCAUAAAGACCAAAAGGACAAGGGAAAACACAGCAAAACAUUACUGGUCCUUGGGAGGGUUCAAUCCCAAGUGUUAAUUCCUGGUCAUCAAUCACGUGGUGAGUUGAUGAGUGAAAUUAAAAAAAAUGGUAGAGGUGAGGUACGACUCUGCCAGGCUCUCCCACUCCAAAUAUUUGGGCCGUCUCCAUGUAAUUAAUGUUCAAUGUGGCUUUCCAUAAGCAUCUAUCAAAGGCAGUUUGCAUAUUAUCAAUGCAGCAAGACGACAGUAUUUCUAAAACACGAGAUGAGCCCCGUGCAGAAGACACUUUUAAGUCCAUUAGCUAAGAAAGGUGGUAGGAAACGGAUCUGGAUGGAAGGCUCACUUUGAUCUGCUUUUUUGUGACACUCUAGUGAGGAGAAGAAGAAAGCAGCAACCGGCACUCCAAAGCCAGCCUGCUUAUCAAACGAAAAGACAUUUCUUUCUGUGAGUCAGAGCAAAAAUUUUAAUUAACUCUCCACUCUCUUGUGGUGGAUACGUAAUCUCCCAUCACACCUGGAGUGUUAAAAAAAAAAAAAAGUGGAGCAUGUCCUGUGGUUUUUCAACUUGUAUAAAAGGAAUUCAUUUGUAUUUAUGGCUCUUUUCCCCCUUUGUUCCCUGUAAUUUCUCCAGUGGUUGCAAAUCAGCUAAGGAAACAGACAUCCAACACAGCCUUCCCUUAACCCUGUAAAAAUGUAACAAUAUAGAGUUUAGUAAGAAAUGCAUUUGUCUUUUGAUAAUUUUUAAAGAUCCUCUGUGCCAGCAAAAGAAUGAGGAAGUCACAUAUUGGUCCAGUGAGAAAGUUCAUGCUUUCAAAUACAGUUUGCCCUUUCCUAAUAACUUAAACUCUAGAAGUCAAAAAAAUAAUAAUUUGAUUACAUAAAAAUCCAUCUGCGUGACAAAAGACAACAUUCACAAGUUCAAAAGACGAAUGAAGAAAUGGGAAGAUAUUUGUAGUCAUAUUAUAGCUAAAAAAGCGCCUCUAGAAAUUGAUAGGCAAAAAGUCCAGUAAUCUCAAGUUUUUCAAUUGGACAAGGAUUUGAAGAUCAAAGAAAAGGAAAAUCAAAUGGUCAUUAAGCACGUGAAGAAAAAAGCAGACUCUAAAAGAAAUGCAUAUUAAACUACCCUGAGAUACUGUUUUCUUACCUAUCAAACUGGUUGUUUUUAAAAAAAACAAAAACAAAAA